rnacentral:lncRNA from 1 species
CACGUAGGUUCAUCAUCACGAUGAUUCAGCCGUCUCCUCGAUGCUUUGCUCUCCUUUUUCGCUUUAUUUUUGCCCUUUGUAUCCCAGACAAUCCUUUCCUAGUCAUCUUUAUAUAGUGUUUUUUCCUUUCUACCCAACCAUCUUCAACUAAAAUAUGGCUUUUUCCUCAACACAAGCACAGAAUACUACACAAAUUUUCCAAUUUUGUCACGCACAAAACUUUAAAUCAAACCUUUUUGUCAGCGGUUCGAUGCUUUGUG